rnacentral:rRNA from 1 species
AUUGAACGCUGGCGGCAGGCCUAACACAUGCAAGUCGAGCGAGCGGCGGACGGGUGAGUAAUGUCUGGGAAACUGACUGAUGGAGGGGGAUAACUACUGGAAACGGUAGCUAAUACCGCAUACCAUCAGAUGUGCCCAGAUGGGAUUAGCUAGUAGGUGGGGUAACGGCUCACCAAGGCGACGAUCCCUAGCUGGUCGGAGAGGAUGACCAGCCACACUGGAACUGUGACACGGUCCAGACUCCUACGGGAGGCAGCAGGGGGGAAUAUUGCACAAUGGGCGCAAGCCUGAUGCAGCCAUGCCGCGUGUAUGAAGAAGGCCUUCGGGUUGUAAAGUACUUUCAGCGAGGAGGCGUUACUCGCAGAAGAAGCACCGGCUAACUCCGUGCCAGCCGCCGAGGUAAUUC